UCCUGCGCCUGCGCGCUAGGCAGUAGGCGGGGCUGGAAACGGAAGGUGGGGCAUGAACCAGGCUGUACUUAGGCCGCGUUCCUCUCAUUCUACGCGGAAGAAGAAGAAAAAUGUUCCUUUGAGUUUGUGUCUCAGGGUGAACGCCACAGUUUAAAACAUUUCCUACUGAGCUAGGAGGAAAAAGAAAGUGGGGCUAUUUUCUGAGACGCAGGGCAUUUGUUACGAAUAGUAAUCUUAGAGAUAAAAGAGAGCAAAUGACACGAACUCAAAACGCAUACUGCUUUUAAAGAUUUUUUUUAAAAGGUGCGAUGCAGGGAAAGUGAAUCCAAGUAGAGCCCAGCGCAUUACCUGUGUUGAAAAGACAGAGCUGAAAUUCUGGGGAGAUCGAGCAAACUGCAUGAAGAGAUUCUCCUGGCCUUGAAGAAGCAAACAGCCAUGUCAUGAGCUGCCUAUGUCAUUUUUGGGAACCCAUGUCAUAGAGACUUCUGUGGAGAGGCACACAUGAUGAAGAACUGAAGUCUCCUGCCAGCAGCCACAUGAGUAAGCUUGGAAACAGAUCUUCCAGCUGCAAUCAAGCCACCAGAUACUACAGCCCCACUCAUGGCUUGACUGCAACAUGAGAGAGAAGCUGAACCAUAAUUGCCCAGCAAAACUCUCCUAGAUAUCUGGCCCUCAGAAACUAUGUGAAUAAUAAAUGCUGGUUGUUUUUAGAAUGAUAAA